rnacentral:rRNA from 1 species
UACAGAGGGUGCAGGCGUUAAUCGGAAUUACUGGGCGUAAAGCGCGCGUAGGUGGUUUGUUAAGUUGGAUGUGAAAUCCCCGGGCUCAACCUGGGAACUGCAUCCAAAACUGGCAAGCUAGAGUAUGGUAGAGGGUGGUGGAAUUUCCUGUGUAGCGGUGAAAUGCGUAGAUAUAGGAAGGAACACCAGUGGCGAAGGCGACCACCUGGACUGAUACUGACACUGAGGUGCGAAAGCGUGGGGAGCAAACAGG